UUUGUCUGAUAACUCGCUCGCUGGAGCUGAAGUGAGGCGCUUGUCCUUUGCUGCUGCCCCCUGAUUUACGCAGUGGCUUGGCACCGUCGUAUUUGCAUUUUCUCUGGUCGACCGAAAGUGCAUUUUUCAGCUGAUGAACUGUGUGUCAGAAAAACUUCUCCCACCUCGACCCUGACCAUGCACCUGGCUGGGGGAGAAAGGCCUGCCCCUCCAGUCCCUUCGAGACUACCUGCAUCACCGAACAGGGUGCUCCUCCCUCGUUGGCACAGACGGACAGGAACUGGGAAGGCAGGGAAAGAGUGUGGCCAAGCCCUUGGCUCCAGCCCCCCAGGAUGCCAGCCAAUGGCACUGCGGGGGAAGCAAUGCAUUGCGUCAUUGAAAGAGCCGCCACACCUCCGUGGAGCAAGGGGCCGCAGGCACUAGGGGAGGACGCCGCUGAGUCGCCAUUCACGCAGCCUGUCACACUGACUGAAUGGCCCGGGGACGAGACAGCCCUUCAUUCCUCGCGCCGCGCACUUGAAACCCCGCCUCGAGUGUGACUCGGCUGCUGCAGGCCAAGCUUUGGCUGGCUACGCUUCGCUUGCCGGAAGUGCCAACCGGCUCAUGCUGUGUUUCUAAACUUAUUAACUAAAUUACUCACGGCGCUUUCUGUUCUCCUAGCGCCCCAGCCAGA